AUGAACGCUGGCGGCGUGCCUAAUACAUGCAAGUCGAGCGAACAGACGAGGAGCUUGCUCCUUCGACGUUAGCGGCGGACGGGUGAGUAACACGUAGGUAACCUACCUAUAAGACUGGGAUAACUUCGGGAAACCGGAGCUAAUACCGGAUAAUAUUUCGAACCGCAUGGUUCGAUAGUGAAAGAUGGCUUUGCUAUCACUUAUAGAUGGACUUGCGCCGUAUUAGCUAGUUGGUAAGGUAACGGCUUACCAAGGCAACGAUACGUAGCCGACCUGAGAGGGUGAUCGGCCACACUGGAACUGAGACACGGUCCAGACUCCUACGGGAGGCAGCAGUAGGGAAUCUUCCGCAAUGGGCGAAAGCCUGACGGAGCAACGCCGCGUGAGUGAUGAAGGUCUUCGGAUCGUAAAACUCUGUUAUUAGGGAAGAACAAACGUGUAAGUAACUGUGCACGUCUUGACGGUACCUAAUCAGAAAGCCACGGCUAACUACGUG
rnacentral:rRNA from 1 species